UACAGAGGUCUCAAGCGUUGUUCGGAUUCAUUGGGCGUAAAGGGUGCGUAGGCGGCGCGGUAAGUCGGGUGUGAAAUCUCGGAGCUUAACUCCGAAACUGCAUUCGAUACUGCCGUGCUUGAGGACUGGAGAGGAGACUGGAAUUUACGGUGUAGCGGUGAAAUGCGUAGAUAUCGUAAGGAAGACCAGUGGCGAAGGCGGGUCUCUGGACAGUUCCUGACGCUGAGGCACGAAAGUGUGGGGAUCAAACAGG
rnacentral:rRNA from 1 species